CUCAACAUGCUUACUUAAGUUGAGAAUUUAGUUCAUAUAUAUAUAUAUAAUUCUAACAAUUUCAAACUACUGAUAAAGUUACUAAAUUCAGGUUUUUCAAUUCAAUUUAAUUUUUAAGUCUACAAUAUAGAUUGAACAUAAAUGUCUUUAUAAAUCUAGAACACAGAUGUGUGAUGUGUAUGUUAUUUCAACAAUGUAACUGCAAAUAAUAUAUGCACAAAAUAUCUUGGAUGAGUUUAUAUAUAUAUUACUUUAAAUUCAGAAAACUUGUAUUUAAGAACUAUACAAAAUUAAUUUUUAUUACUUACUCACAGAAAUUAGUUCACAGAACUAGCAUUGCUAUUAAGUCUGAAUGUGUGCACAUUACAAACACAAAAACCGAGAAGUUGCUACUUUCAUUGUAAGAGUAACAAAAAUUCAAAAUACAUGAUUGCAUGUUGACAACCAUAAUGGUGUAAAGUGUAAGGAAUUUAAAUAAUUUACCAAAAUGAAUAGCAUCAUUGAUUCUACCAUUAGCAUGAGAUGUGAUACCAUUAUUUUACACAUCAAUACUACAGUUUAGAUAAAUAAAAAUAAAUAAAUUAAAGUACAAAUGGAAAAAAAAUAUUGUUUUAUGAAAUAUUGUUUAAUAAUGCAAUGCGAACAAAUUUUUGGACUGGUUUAUCAACAAGAUAUGAUAUGUUUGUAUUCGUGAUUAUUCAACCAAACAAGGGAGCUUUGGAAAAAUAAACAAGCUUUGGUUAUACAGGAGAAGAUUUUACAAGGCAGGUUUAAGAAUCUAUGGAGUAUAAGCACCCAGACGUGGUAUUAAGCACUUGGAGACCAAAAGAGUUGGAGGUAGUGGAAGAGAGUAAGAUUAAGUAUGUGUGUGAUCUAUUGACAUAUAAGGUGCUCUCUAAGGCUAAAAAAGGCUCAAUCUUAACGGAAUGGGUUCAAAAGCGGCUACAAGAAGGGCGAAUGUACAUGCAACAAGCACCCAUUGGAAAAGAAAUGUGUGGGCAAUGGAAGGUGUACAAAGGUGCACGAGAUCCUUUUAAAAAAAUAGACCACAAUUUUUUCUGGCACAUGGAUGUGAAAAACAAGGAGUCAUUGCGAGAAGUCAUUCAAGAUUCCACGCGUGGAUAUGUAGAGCUUUAUUGAAAACUUGAAUUUAAGAGGAAAAUAAUGCCAUUUUGUCAUCAAAGCACACUUUUUGUUUGCAAAAUAUGAGAGAGAUUUACAUGGAAUGAUGAUAAGAUGGCAAUACAAUAAUUAGCACUAAAUGUAAUUCAAUGAUUAUGAUAUAAGAAGAAUAUCACAUAUCUCAUUGAGUGCAUGUUUUUAUUGUAAAGUGUGAUGAAGUUUUAUGGCAAGUCAAUCAUUUGUAUUAUUGGGUGUCAUUAUUUGAUUGAUUUUUAUACCUUGAUUAAUGAGAAAUUAUAUUUGUUUACUAUUGAACUUCA